CGUUAGGCUUGGCCGGGGAGCUUGGCGUGCCCUGAACACGCAAUCGUCACAGCGUGGGCGACUGGAGGGGGCGGCGGAGCGGAAACGGCCGGCCCUUCGAACGACGAUGAUACUUUGUCCUGCAGAGUUGGAGUACGCGUCCUUCGUUCCCGGAGGGGAUCGCGGAGCGCGCCAAUCGGGGGGACCGGGCCAGGCCCUGACGGGAGCAGCCUAACCUCGAGCUACCGACGUUUGCGGGGAUACAGGGUUGAGGAGGGAGAUGGAUUACCGGCCGCGGAAGUGACGUCCACCUUUCCGUGCCUAACA
rfam:Candidatus Methanomethylophilus sp. 1R26 contig_3, whole genome shotgun sequence.